rnacentral:rRNA from 1 species
UACAGAGGGUGCAAGCGUUGUUCGGAAUUAUUGGGCGUAAAGCGCGUGUAGGCGGCUUUGCAAGUCGGGUGUGAAAGCCCUCAGCUUAACUGAGGAAGUGCGCCCGAAACUGCUUGGCUUGAGUACCGGAGAGGAUGGCGGAAUUCCCCAAGUAGAGGUGAAAUUCGUAGAUAUGGGGAGGAACACCGGUGGCGAAGGCGGCCAUCUGGACGGAGUACUGACGCUGAGACGCGAAAAGCGUGGGUAGCAAACAGG